rnacentral:rRNA from 1 species
UACGUAGGUGACCAGCGUUGUCCGGAUUUACUGGGCGUAAAGAGCGCGCAGGCGGUCGUUCAAGUCGAGUGUGAAAGCCCCCGGCUCAACUGGGGAGGGUCACUCGAUACUGAUCGACUUGAAGGCAGGAGAGGGACGCGGAAUUCCCGGUGUAGUGGUGAAAUGCGUAGAUAUCGGGAGGAACACCAGUGGCGAAGGCGGCUUCCUGGCCUGUUCUUGACGCUGAGGCGCGAAAGCUAGGGGAGCAAACGGG